rnacentral:lncRNA from 1 species
GGUUGGAAGGCAGCAAGCAAGCUGAAGUCGCAUGAAGGAGUGGUCCUGCGCCUGCUGCUCUCUCUGCUGAUCUGAAGCCACACAGCCCAGCAUGGCUCCCACUGCUUGACUUUCUGGAGCACUCCAGGGUUUGAGCAUCAAUACCUGCCCCUCAAUUAGAUCAGAGAAAACCUGAAAGAUCGCAUAGCGGGAGUGCAAGGUGUCCACUAGAUGGCAGAAUUGAUCAAGCUGAAUCGUGCGCCGCGCAGCGAGACUGUGAACUCUGAGUACAGAAUCCAGAUGGAGGGAUAGACAGCCCUCUAAAGCUGACAUCUCCACGUUUUCCCCAGUGUGAGUCUUGAGCGGCCCAAGGGUGCUCUGAAAUGCUCCGGGCCGCACCAUUGUUACAGUCCAUAGAGGUGACACUUUAGGGAGUGACGUUAUGGUGUCUGACAGCCUGUUACA